rnacentral:rRNA from 1 species
AUUGAACGCUGGCGGCAUGCUUUACACAUGCAAGUCGAACGGUAACAGGCCGCAAGGUGCUGACGAGUGGCGAACGGGUGAGUAAUGCAUCGGAACGUGCCCAGUCGUGGGGGAUAACGCAGCGAAAGCUGUGCUAAUACCGCAUACGAUCUAUGGAUGAAAGCGGGGGACCGUAAGGCCUCGCGCGAUUGGAGCGGCCGAUGUCAGAUUAGGUAGUUGGUGGGGUAAAGGCCUACCAAGCCGACGAUCUGUAGCUGGUCUGAGAGGACGACCAGCCACACUGGGACUGAGACACGGCCCAGACUCCUACGGGAUGCAGCAGUGGGGAAUUUUGGACAAUGGGCGCAAGCCUGAUCCAGCAAUGCCGCGUGCAGGAAGAAGGCCUUCGGGUUGUAAACGGCUUUUGUACGGAACGAAACGGUCUGGGUUAAUACCCUGGGCUAAUGACGGUACCGUAAGAAUAAGCACCGGCUAACUACGUGCCAGCAGCCGCGGUAACAC